rnacentral:rRNA from 1 species
AACGAACGCUGGCGGCAGGCCUAACACAUGCAAGUCGAACGCUCCGCAAGGGGAGUGGCAGACGGGUGAGUAACACGUGGGAAUCUUCCUGUUGGUACGGAAUAGCUCAGGGAAACUUGGGGUAAUACCGUAUAAGCCCGAGAGGGGAAAGAUUUAUCGCCGACAGAUGAGCCCGCGUCUGAUUAGCUAGUUGGUGAGGUAAUGGCUCACCAAGGCGACGAUCAGUAGCUGGCUGAGAGGAUGACCAGCCACACUGGGACUGAGACACGGCCCAGACUCCUACGGGAGGCAGCAGUGGGGAAUAUUGGACAAUGGGCGCAAGCCUGAUCCAGCCAUGCCGCGUGAGUGACGAAGGUCUUCGGAUUGUAAAGCUCUUUUACCAGGGACGAUAAUGACGGUACCUGGAGAAUAAGCCCCGGCUAACUUCGUGCCAGCCGCCGCCGUAAU